CCUCUUUAUCGUUUGAGCAAUGGAGGGACGCAGAAGGAUAGAAGAAGCGUGCGAUUGGUUGUGCACGUCCAAGCAGUUAGGCUGAUAAGUAGGCAAAUCCGCUUAUCGUGAAGGCUGAGCUGUGAUGGGGAAGCUCCUUAUGGAGCGAAGUCUUUGAUUCCCCGCUGCCAAGAAAAGCUUCUAGCGAGAUAAAAGGUGCCUGUACCGCAAACCGACACAGGUAGGCGAGGAGAGAAUCCUAAGGUGUGCGAGAGAACUCUGGUUAAGGAACUCGGCAAAAUGACCCCGUAACUUCGGGAGAAGGGGUGCUUUCUUAACGGAAAGCCGCAGUGAAUAGGCCCAAGCGACUGUUUAGCAAAAACACAGCUCUCUGCGAAGCCGUAAGGCGAAGUAUAGGGGGUGACACCUGCCCGGUGCUGGAAGGUUAAGGAGAGGGGUUAGCGUAAGCGAAGCUCUGAACUGAAGCCCCAGUAAACGGCGGCCGUAACUAUAACGGUCCUAAGGUAGCGAAAUUCCUUGUCGGGUAAGUUCCGACCCGCACGAAAGG
rnacentral:rRNA from 1 species